AGAUUCUUAGUUUAUGUAUUAUAAAACAUUAAUUUGUCAAAUUAAAAAAAUUUAUUUUAGAUUCUG
rnacentral:tRNA from 1 species